AGUGAACGCUGGCGGUAGGCCUAACACAUGCAAGUCGAACGGCAGCACAGUAAGAGCUUGCUCUUACGGGUGGCGAGUGGCGGACGGGUGAGGAAUACAUCGGAAUCUACUCUUUCGUGGGGGAUAACGUAGGGAAACUUACGCUAAUACCGCAUACGACCUACGGGUGAAAGCAGGGGAUCUUCGGACCUUGCGCGAUUGAAUGAGCCGAUGUCGGAUUAGCUAGUUGGCGGGGUAAAGGCCCAGCAAGGCGACGAUCCGUAGCUGGUCUGAGAGGAUGAUCAGCCACACUGGAACUGAGACACGGUCCAGACUCCUACGGUAGGCAGCAGUGGGGAAUAUUGGACAAUGGGCGCAAGCCUGAUCCAGCCAUACCGCGUGGGUGAAGAAGGCCUUCGGGUUGUAAAGCCCUUUUGUUGGGAAAGAAAAGCAGCAGGUUAAUACCCCGCUGUUCUGACGGUACCCAAAGAAUAAGCACCGGCUAACUUCGUG
rnacentral:rRNA from 1 species